rnacentral:rRNA from 1 species
GAGUUUGAUCUUGGCUCAGAUUGAACGCUGGCGGCAGGCCUAACACAUGCAAGUCGAGCGGUAGAGAGAAGCUUGCUUCUCUUGAGAGCGGCGGACGGGUGAGUAAUGCCUAGGAAUCUGCCUGGUAGUGGGGGAUAACGCUCGGAAACGGACGCUAAUACCGCAUACGUCCUACGGGAGAAAGCAGGGGACCUUCGGGCCUUGCGCUAUCAGAUGAGCCUAGGUCGGAUUAGCUAGUUGGUGAGGUAAUGGCUCACCAAGGCGACGAUCCGUAACUGGUCUGAGAGGAUGAUCAGUCACACUGGAACUGAGACACGGUCCAGACUCCUACGGGAGGCAGCAGUGGGGAAUAUUGGACAAUGGGCGAAAGCCUGAUCCAGCCAUGCCGCGUGUGUGAAGAAGGUCUUCGGAUUGUAAAGCACUUUAAGUUGGGAGGAAGGGCAGUAAAUUAAUACUUUGCUGUUUGACGUUACGACAGAAUAAGCACCGGCUAACUCUGUG